rnacentral:ncRNA from 1 species
UUGUGGAGGUAAAAUAGUUCUGCUUCCACAUUAAAAAAUCAGGUGAAUUGCGGGGAAGUCCUAAAGCUCUAAUUACUAACCUAUCAUGGUAACAUAGAUAGGGGCCAAACUAAUCAUUUGGGUAUAGUAAAAAUAUUAGAGAUAUUAAACCACAAAGUAAAAUAAUAGGUUUAAUGUAAAAUGGAUUAUCCGCAGCCAAGCAUCCAAGUGAUUGGAUGAAGGUUCAGAGACUAGAUGUAGUAAACUUGUAAUUUAUUCUCAGAUUUCAAGUCGAAACAUCCACGAGCGCCUGACAUGAACGGAAUAUAAGAGAAAUAUUCAUAACGUUCAUGAAGAUAUAGUCCGAACUAUGGCGAAAGUCAUAG